rnacentral:lncRNA from 1 species
GAAGACAAAGAAAAUGGUAGAGAAGUAUGAGACAAAAGGCCAUGUAACGACCCAGUAUUAUGUGUAUAUUAUAUAUGUCCAUUUUAUUUUACUAAUGAAGCAAUAGUUAUAUAAUUUUUAUUUAUUCAUUGGAAAAUUAGGAAUAGGGACGUGACCGGCUUAAAUGCUUCUUGCUACACUAUUAUUCUUAAUUAAUUUUGGGACUAUCAGUAAGUUAUGAUAAUAGAAAUGUCUAGAACAAGAAAUAGGAAAACUUUAUUGUCUUUAAAUUCUCUUAAUUCCUUUUUCUAGUCAAAGUUUAUGUAUAUUUCCUUUUGGUGUGCCACGACUAGGUGGAAGAAGUUUAAUGAAAUUGUUGCACCUCUAUUUUAAUAAUUAAUUUAUUGUUUAGUUUUGACUUAACUUUACAUUAUUUUAUUUAUUCGAUGAUUUAUAUUAUGUGAUGAUCUAUAUUUAACCAAGAUACAUGAGAACUUAAUUAGAAUCAAUUCUUUUGAUUUCUUCCUCAUAAUAGCAUUGGACCAACUUAACUACCAUGUGUUUACUUUCGGUACACAGUGAUGCUAGUUAAUUGGCAUUUAAUUCUUUCAUAAUUUCUUGAGGCCUUAUCAUAAUUCUUUUAUAACCAUUCCUCCUUUCAUUCCCAAAGUGUUUUCACGCCUCCAUACCAUACUCACCUUAUUCAUAAACAAACAACUUUUUCGGUUCUUCUUACUCUGAACUCUUGCAAGAUCAAAAUGAAGUUUUGGAUUCUCAAUCUCUUGAUUUAUAUAAUAUUUUUUCAUUGAUCUUAGAGUCUUCUUCCAUGUUAAGGAGGUAAGGGCUUUUUCCCCAUAUGUUCGUGCUAGGAAUAAGUUUAUGUUAUGAAAUAAAUAUUAGAAUAUUUAACCAUUAAAAAGGUAAUGUUAUGUUUUGUGUUUGAGUUGUUCUUUGAUGUAUGUGUGUGAUUGACUAUGAUUGAGAGGUUCUGUGAUUUAUGUGUGUGAUUGACUGUGAAAUGGAAUAGUGUGUUAGUUUUGAUUCAAGUACUCUAGCACAAUAAAUUAUUGUUAGUUAGUUUGAAGAUAUGUAUCAUAUUUUGAGACAUCCAUCAUGUAGUAUGCAUGGUAGGUGCCUCCGUGGCUGAAUUGUGCCUUCGUGGCUGAACUUUGCCUUCGUGACUGAAUUGUGCUUCCGUGGCUGAACUUUGCCUUCGUGGCUGAAUUGUGCCUUCGUGGUUGAAUUUAUCCGGAUCAUGAGUUUGCAUUUUCAUGCAUAUAAAACAUUCAUUUGUGUUAAAAGAAUUUAAUAUUUAAGUUUUUUUUAUUUCUUUUUAGGGUAAAAUGUUCUAUUAUUUGUUUUAUGACAUUUACUUUCCGUUUGGCAUGUCCCAAUUUGAAUAAGGAAAUUGACCCUUACAUUAAAUAAAUUGUUGUAGGUACCAAAGAAUGAUAAUAUGAAGUUGAUGUUUGAUUGAAGCAUACGCGGGGAAAAAAAUGAGUUUUAUUGAAUUGUAAAUGAAAUUUAAAAUAUUCUUUUUAGUGUACUAUUUUCUUCUGUUAGAAAAUAACAAAUUAUAAACAGUAAAUUUCUAUCAAUUUAUUUAAAUAGCUCGUCUUUCUAUUAGUCUGAUUUCAAUAGUUUAUUUAU